CCUGGAAAACUGGGCAUUCAUCUAUUCUUCUCCAGUACUUGCCUCUUAAUUCUGAAGAGAAUAAUAAAAUUAGAAUGUAUAUUUAAAAGUUCUAUAUAAACCUCAUAGUCACUUUAAAAUACUUAAUACUGUAGGAAGCUAGAAUCAUGGUUUUAUAUACAAUAUGAAGUUCUACUUGAUUUAAGGAAAAUAUAUUGUUUUGUUUUAUUUAUAGUUUUCACACGUUCAUAGCAUCACCCGGCAGGGAGUGCCACACCCAUGUUUUGCCCAAGCAAGCAGCAGAUCACUAAUCUGAUGAUAACUCAGCUAACUAUGCAGGAACCCCCAGACCACACACCAGCACUUUGUUGAAUCCCAGAAUAUAUUGCUCUCUUCAUAACCACAAGUCUGAGGAAAUUGCUUUAAGGCUAUGUUUCCUGAUUUGAUUACCCCAAAUUUUACACUGCUGUGCCCAAGUGUCUGAAGAACAAUUGCAUGCAUUUGUCAUCUCUGUUU
rnacentral:lncRNA from 1 species